AACGAACGCUGGCGGCAUGCCUAACACAUGCAAGUCGAACGAGACCUUCGGGUCUAGUGGCGCACGGGUGCGUAACGCGUGGGAACCUGCCCCAAAAUCCGGAAUAACCUGCCGAAAGGCGGGCUAAUACUGGAUAGAGCGACGGAAUCCGUAAUUGGGUUUUUCGGGAAAGGGAGCUCGCAAGAGCCUUCGUUUUGGGAUGAGCCUGCGUCUCAUUAGCUAGUUGGUGGGGUAAUGGCCCACCAAGGCUUUGAUGGGUAGCUGGUCUGAGAGGAUGAUCAGCCACACUGGAACUGAAACACGGUCCAGACUCCUACGGGAGGCAGCAGUGGGGAAUCUUGCGCAAUGGACGAAAGUCUGACGCAGCCACGCCGCGUGAGUGAAGAAGGCCUUCGGGUUGUAAGCUCUGUCGGGCGGGACGGAAACUACUUAGGGUUAACUAGCCCUAGG
rnacentral:rRNA from 1 species